UGUCACUUGUGUUUUGAUCUUAGCCAUUUUGACAGGUGUAAGAUGGAAUCUCAACACCUUUGAUUUGCAUUUCCCUGAGGGGUAAGGAUUUUGAACAAUUCUUUUAAGUGUGUCCCAGCCAUUUGAGUUUCCUCUAAAGAGAAUUCUCUGUUUAGGUCUGUACCACAUUUUUGAAACUAGAUUAUUUGGUUUUUUGAUACCUAGUUUCUUUAUAUAUUUUAGAUAUUAGUUCUCUAUCAGAUGGUGAGUUGCUAAAAAUCUUUUCCCAUUCUGUAGACUGCUGCUUUAUCUGAAUGGUGAUGUCCUUUGCCUUACAAAAACUUUUCAAUUUCACGAAGUCCCGUUUCUUCAUUGUUGAUCUUAUUGCCUACAUUAUCUAUGUUCCAUUCGCAAAGUGUUCUCCUGUGCCACAACUGGAGCAGUGAAACAGCCAAGAAGCGAAGGAGAACUCAUAUAGAAACCUGCAUUCUUCUCUGACGUUACAGGAUAAGGAAGGUGGAGAAGUGAGUUCAUGGCUACUUCGUGCUGGAAAAGUCUUCUCCAAGGCAAGACUUACAGUCUUGUGCUCUGAUUCAACUUCUCGUGGUUUUGUGAGCUCUGUGACUGAUUAUCCAUGUGUCUUAGAGCCACUUAGCCUCCAGGAACAGAAGACAGAAUAGUCUGCCACUCCCUCCUUGUUCAUUCUCUCUAUUAAGCCUUUCCUAUGUUGGUUUGAUUAUUUUCCAUCCUCCUCCCAUUUUUGCAUCUAUCCACUCAACCCUUCCCCUUUGAUUUUUCUCCUAUUUCCCAUCAAUAAAAGCAAAGAUUAACCAUGUAUGAAACAAUCACUAUAUGUCUGACAUAAUUCUAAGUUCUCUAUAAUAUCACUUUGUUCAAUCCCAUGGUACUCCAUAAGAUGGAUUGUACUUAUUAAUAAGCCCAUUUUCAGAUGAAAAUGUUGAUACAUAGAUACUUAGAAGUCAAAAAGUGAGGAAUUUUGUUUUAAUCAAAAUUUGAGUGUCUGCUAAGAGGAGCAACACUAGUAAAGCAAUUGAUGAUCAUGCCCCCACCUCUGUUUGAGAUUUUGUGUUUUAUUUCAUGUUUUAAAGUAUUGAUUCAGAAUAAGCUAAGUCUUAAUAAAGAUUACAUAAAAUAAAAAUGUCUAGAAAAAUGGUAUACUGCUGUAGAGGGUUGCAGGUUGCUUUUUAAAAAACACAACUGUGACCUAAGAAUUUCUAUAAUUAUGGGGAGAGUGACAUAGGAUUUCUGUUGGCCUGCCCUUUCCUUCCUCAUUGCUCUCAACAUCUCUUGACUUAUUUUGGCGAAUAUAACUGACUCUUAUUUGAGUGUUGUAUACUCAAGCUAUGUCUGUUUGUCCGCCCAGGUCUCAAAUAUGGAGAGACCUUCUGGCCACACUGCUAACUCUGGGAUGGAGAUCAAAAAAGGAUAGUUUAAUUCCUGCCCCACCCCCCAAACAAGAACAAGAAAUGUUUAUUUAAAGGGACAUGAGGAAACAAAGGGUAGGAGUGAUUGUUAGGCAAUAAUUCAACCGUCCCUAGUUCCUCUCUAACAUACCCUCUGCCUCACCCCAAUGUCCCAACCUUUUCUUUCCUUUAGAGUAAUAUAAAGUAUUUAGUCCCUUCAACAAUAUCAUUUGUUUGAGAAAUAUUUAUGAAUGAGUAUGUGCUAUGUGUGUGUGGUAUAUUCCCAUGUACACACAGGUGCAUAUGUGUGCACCUGCAUGAGGAGGCCAGAGGUCAACAUAUAAUGUCUUUUUUGAAUGCUCUCCCCCUUAUUUUGUAAGACAGAUUCUCUAAUUGAACCUGGAGUUCAUUGAUUCAGCGAGGUUGGAUGACCAAUGAGUUUCCAGGAAUCUGCCUGGCUCUUCCUCACCCCACCCCACCCCACCCCCAUGGUGCUAGAGUUACAGAUGUGUGCUGGAGAUCUGAAUUCAGAUCCUCGUGCUUACAAAGCAAUUACUUGACAGGCUGAGUCAUCCCUCCAGCCUCUUAUUUGUUUUGUAUUUAAGAAACAGUGGUCAGGAUAUGCCAGCCCACAGAUAUUAACUUAUUUAGCUCUCAUAACACUUUUUUAUUAAUUUAUUUCUCUUACAUCCCCACUGCAGCUUCUCCUCUCCUCCCACUCCUUCCUCUCCUCCCAUCCCCCUUCAACCUACUCUUCCUUCCUCCUCCGUAUUUGCUCAGAAAGGGGCAGGCCUCCCAUGAGCAUCAACAAAGCAUCUUGCAACAAUUUUAUGAGGUCAGUGCUAUUUCCAGUGUCACUGGAAAGCUGAGGAAACUGAGGCAUGAAGAACUAAUAUCCCGUAACACCAGUAGUCACAGCCAGGUGGUCUCAGUCUUAAAGGCAGGUCAACAGUGACUUACAAAGGGGCAGGCCAAGGAUACACCUCAAGGCAAGAUUUCCUGAGGGUCUCUAAAUCCUUCUCCAUUGGUACAGAACCUGGAGAGACCUGUCACUAGAUCAUCUAGCCCUCAAAGUAACUCCAAGGGAUGGCUCUUCUCAGUUUCAUUGACCAUCUAGGAUCCUGAGGCUUAGCUGGUUCAGUACAUUCUUGGAUGUCUAGCUAGUCAGCAAUGAAGGGAGCAGGCAAAAUCACCUUGGCCUAAGUACUGCCAUUUUUACUUCAGACUCCAUUUUACUUUUAGGGUAACAUGUAGACUGGGCAAGCCCUAGGAGAGCUGCGAACUUUUCAAUGGCUGACCAACCUCCUCCUUAGGCAACAGAAUAGUCUGCUAUGUCCCUUAGUUCUCUCAAAACAUUAUGGCUGUUCCUAACAACAGGAAGAAAAAAAUACAAAUGAAUCUGAUUGGUUGGAUUGAAAAACUCCCAUUUUGUGUCAGGUGACAGUGAUGGAACACACAAGGAAAGUCCCUGAUCUUUCGUCUGAUUGUGAAAAUUAUGUCUGUAACUUGGCAACAAACGUUUGUGAAUUUUGUUUAUGAACCCUGCUUCUGGCCCCGUUCAGGGCUGCCAGGAGUAAUCAGGCUCCUGAGUCACUGUUUUGGAAGCCAUGAUUGAUCAGUGACCUGCUUAGGUGGUGACUUAUUAUUAAAGUCUUUAGAACCCAUAAGUGUUGAUUCUCUCUUUCCUUGUGGAUCAUAACGGACUGAGCGUAACAAGCAAUAGAGUCUUGCAUGGAUCAUGUUUCUUGAUCUGCAGUUUGUAGCACUGUUGCUACGUUGUGGGUCCCCAUUCUAUAGAUUCAUGUGGAUUUUCUUUUCAAACAGAGCAGAUAUUCCAGUAAAAGGAAGCUACAGUUUGCUGACUAUCCGGUCUCAUGAAUCAAUUUGAACUCUGACCAAGACCUAGAGACCAGUGAAAAGUUCUCUUUGGCCCUCAUUUUUAGUUCUGCUGUUGUAUUUUUCUCUCUUGUUGUUUAUUUGCUUUAUUUCAUAUUUCUAUUGCUAAAUAGAGAGAGUGAUUGUACUCACAGCAAGAAAAGGUGUUCGUGUUUAUUCUCCGCCCCCCCCCCAUCCCCAAGAAAUACUUUAAAAACCAUCCACUGGUUAUAGGAGAAACAUUAGUGAUGAAAAGAAAGACUCUUCAUUCAAGUAGGCUGUGCUCAGGGAAAAGGGGGUGAUGAUAAAUUAAUACACAUAUUUGAGACUUUAAGUAGUGUUGUCUGGCACAAAAAGAAAACACAAAGAGUGGGUGGCUUUAGCAUUGGUGCUCGGGUGUCAGAACACAGUCCAUGGGGGAAGUUGUGUGAGGGGAAUUAUUGGUGCCUGUGAGAAAACUCCAAGGAAAGAGAACAAGAGACUUGUGAUCUCCAUCCUCCAAAGCACAGAACUGUUCUUGGAAAAUGUUCUUGUGCCCCUCCUAGGCGCAGCAAACAGGAGUGGAUUUGGUUCAGAUGACCAUUGCAUUUACUGGGGUUACUCAGCCAAGCACAGCUUGUCCUUGUGAUUGGUAUACAGCUUGAACUUUAUGAACUUUGCCUACAGGAUGACCUUGCUUAAAGAAUAAAAAAUUAUCUGAGGCUCUAAAUAAAGUUGGCUACAAUAUGA